rnacentral:rRNA from 1 species
ACGCUCGACACCUACGGGGCAGCAGUUAGGAAUAUUGGGCAAUGGAGGAAACUCUGACCCAGCAACGCCGCGUGAAGGAAGAAGGUUUCGGAUUGUAAACUUCUGAUCUAGGGGAAGAAGGAAGUGACGGUACCCUAGGAGAAAGCCACGGCUAACUACGUGCCAGCAGCCGUGGUAAUCUGAGCGGGCUGGCAAGGC